CAGCCUCGGCGCAUUCGUAAACAAACCCUCGUUCAGUUCGGACGCAGCGAACACCCGAAGACCCCCUCACCCCACAUCAGUGUAAUACUCAGACUUCUUGUUUCGUGGUCGUCGAGACUGCCGGCACGGGAAAAUGUAGGCGAGCGGCAUCGGUGCGGAGCGCGACAGUUUACCUGCACCCUACGGGGUCGGUGCUUGAACAAUCCGUACGCGACGAUAACAGGCGUGAUUAGAAUUUGAAAUUCCUUCACACUUUGAACACACAAAUAUGAGAAGAGAACCUCGAGAGAUAUAGUUUAGUGCAGAUUCGUAGUUUGAUCUGAAACCGUCGGCAACGUCUGCCCUCUUCUAAUACCGCACACUGAGGCUCUCACGGCAUUGG